UACGUAGGGACCAAGCGUUGUUCGGAUUUACUGGGCGUAAAGGGCGCGUAGGCGGCAAUUCAAGUCAUCUGUGAAAUCUCCGGGCUUAACCCGGAACGGUCAGAUGAUACUGCUUUGCUAGAGUGCAGAAGGGGCAAUCGGAAUUCUUGGUGUAGCGGUGAAAUGCGUAGAUAUCAAGAGGAACACCUGAGGUGAAGACGGGUUGCUGGGCUGACACUGACGCUGAGUGCGCGAAAGCCAGGGGAGCAAACAGG
rnacentral:rRNA from 1 species